GGACGAACGCUGGCGGCGUGCUUCAUACAUGCAAGUCGAACGAGAAGCUGACUUCGGUCAGUGGAAAGUGGCGGACGGGUGAGUAAUAUGUAGAGAAUCUGCCCUUGAGAGGGGGACAACAGUUGGAAACGACUGCUAAUACCCCAUAUGAGCGUAGCUGAAAUGCUAUUCUUGAAAACUCCGGUGCUCAAGGAUGAGUCUGCAUCUGAUUAGCUAGUUGGUGGUGUAAUGGACUACCAAGGCGACGAUCAGUAGCUGGUUUGAGAGGAUGAUCAGCCACAAUGGGACUGAGACACGGCCCAUACUCCUACGGGAGGCAGCAGUAGGGAAUUUUGCGCAAUGGGGGAAACCCUGACGCAGCAACGCCGCGUGAACGAGACGCCCUUCGGGGUGUAAAGUUUUGUCAGUGGGGACGAACAAAUGACGGUACCCACAGAGGAAGCACCGGCUAACUCCGUGCCAGCAGCAGC
rnacentral:rRNA from 1 species